UUGAAAUCAAUGGGGUUAGGAUUGUGCCGUUAGUAAGACGCCUUGGCAAAAGGAGGCAAGGGAAAGCAUCAAAAGCCUACUGAAUCGUCCUCUUGGGGUUACUAUGAAGCAUCAUAGGGAGGGAGAAACAAAAGUUCAAGUCAAAAGCUUCAUAAGAUAACAUCAGUCACAGUAGCUUGGCUGCAGUUCCACAUGGAGGCUGGAGACUCAUCUUGCACAAACAGCCCAGAAAAAAGGCCCCUUGGUGGAAGGAGGACUUAUAGUGACCAGGAAAACAAUAUAAAAGAAUCUGCAACACAGAGGAAAGAGGACCUUUGCACUCCAUUCCCAAGAAAGUACUCAAAGGAUCAGUAGCCUGAAGUCCCAGGAGAGAUGUGCUCUGGCUGAAACAAGGCUGAGAAAGAGGGAGAGCUUCCAGCAAGGCACUUGCCUUGUCUGCUCAUGAUGCUUAUGAGAAAUGAA